GAUGAACGCUGGCGGCGUGCCUAAUACAUGCAAGUCGAGCGACCGGACGAGAAGCUUGCUUCUCUGAUGUUAGCGGCGGACGGGUGAGUAACACGUGGAUAACCUACCUCUAAGACUGGGAUAACUUCGGGAAACCGGAGAUACUACCGGAUAAUAUUUUGAACCGCAUGGUUCAAAAGUGCAUGACGGUCUUGCUGUCACUUAUAGAUGGUUCCGCGUUGCAUUAGCUAGUUGGUAAGGUAACGGCUUACCAAGGCAACGAUGCAUAGCCGACCUGAGAGGGUGAUCAGCCACACUGGAACUGAGACACGGUCCAGACUCCUACGGGAGGCAGCAGUAGGGAAUCUUCCGCAAUGGGCGAAAGCCUGACGGAGCAACGCCGCGUGAGUGAUGAAGGUCUUCGGAUCGUAAAACUCUGUUAUUAGGGAAGAACAGAUGCAUAAGUAACUGUGCACAUCUUGACGGUACCUAAACAGAAAGCCACGGCUAACUACGUG
rnacentral:rRNA from 1 species